GAUUAAGGCUUAGUUGUUGUUGUGGGCUCCUAUCCAAUGGUUUCUCAUGAGUGAUUUAAGGCCUGAACUUUUGGAGCUUAUGUUUUAUAAAUGUUAGCAGAUGAUAAGCGUGGGUUCACUAGUGAGCUCUCAAUGGGUGAUUUGUUGUAAAUUCAUUACGAAACCUGGGGAUACAAUAUGCAGUUUAUCUUCCUUGGGAAAAAAAAAAAUCAGUGAUUGAUAUCAUAUGUUAGGGAUAUAUGAUAGCUAUGUAACUUAGGUGCAGGGAGAGACAGAGAGGAUGGGUGGGCGCAGGGGGAGAGGAGGGAAGGAGGGUGCUUUAAAUCCUCAUAUUGUUUUGCGUAUGCAAUUCGUUUUGCUGUCAUGUAUUCUGAAAUUAAUUCUAUAACAUUUGGCGAUAAUGAUUAAUCUAUUUGUUUUUCUACUUUCUUAUCAUAUUUAUUCGACUAACAUAAUUUCUUCAUCUUGGAGGCUGUCAGGUGGAAACAACUCAUCAUCAA
rnacentral:misc_RNA from 1 species